rnacentral:rRNA from 1 species
UACAGAGGGUGCAAGCGUUAAUCGGAAUUACUGGGCGUAAGGCGUGCGUAGACGGUUAUGUAAGUCGGGUGUGAAAGCCCCGGGCUCAACCUGGGAAUUGCAUUCGAGACUGCAUAGCUAGGGUGCGGAAGAGGGAAGCGGAAUUUCCGGUGUAGCGGUGAAAUGCGUAGAUAUCGGAAGGAACACCAGUGGCGAAAGCGGCUUCCUGGCCGCUAGCUGACACUGAGGCACGAAAGCUGGGGGAGCAAACAGG